GAGGGUCUGACCUGGGCCUGGCUCCGCCCUGGCCUGCAGUGUGGACACAGAUGUGUCACAGGCCAGCAGGAAGACAUCAGUGACCUAGGGUCAUGUGUGUUGUCCCAGGACUGCUGGGAAACGGUGUGCUGUGGAGGCGACAGCAGGGGCGCCCAGGGCCGGCUGGGCAGGACUCCUGGGGACGGCCCACGGGUGACCACUUGUGAGCAGACACAGGAUGGGCAGGCCCAUGACAGCUCGGGGAAGGGCUGCCCUGGACAAACGGGGCCUGCGUGGUCCCCACCCAUGUGGCCCUCUCCACUGGUAGCUGUUGGGGGCUGGGCUCAGGCCUGAGCUCUCCCUAGCCUCCUCCACCCCCUUCCUUAGGAGGCACUCACACACGACGACGGCUGUCCCUCACUCGCCCACCAGCUCAGACGAGGACAAACGCCCCCUGUGCUCCGGCCAUCGAUCCCUUUCUCUCCUGUUCACUGCGGCAUCUCAGAGCCACAGGAAAGUCACACAGUUGAUGCCUGCACCCGCCUGGGAUUGACUCAAUCCAGCUCUCUUCUCCAGGUGGGGAAACCAGAUGUCCGAUCACACGGGUAGCGGCCGCCUGGCUCUGCGCCCCUGGCUCCCCCCAUACAGCACCGCCUUCCUACUGAGUACAGCUUCACCGAUUGUGUCCAGCGCGUGGGUCCCAGGCAGAGCAGACCUCACGCCCCACCCCGGGGACCGCCUCCUGCCCCCACGGUGACAGGGUGCCUUCACCCCACGCCCGGCCCUCUGCACUGGGGGCCACAAGGUGGGGGCAGGCACCCAAUGAACCCACAUCUGCCUGUUUUCCCAGGCUUUUUAUUAUUUAACCUGCACCCACGGGGAGGGAAGCUAUGCCUACCGCGGAGGAGACGGGCGAACCUGCCGGAAAGCAGGCAGAUGGUGUGAAGGGUCCAGAAUAACCGACCCAGGCCUCCAGAGUGUCAGGGUCACAGGAGGUGAGGAAAGACGGAGGACUUCCCUGAACUGGGAGACAAAGAAGCCAUGAUGAGCAAGUGCGACAUGGGACCCGGGACCAGAGCCAGGACAGAACGAGACACGGACGCAGAGACGGGAAACUCUUCAGUCACUGGUGUUGUAGCCGAGAAUGGCCUAGUUUUGAUUAAAACCGUGUAGGAUUAUUUGCGUACGGGGGUGUGGUGUGACGGGGCAUCGGGCUCCUUGUCUUACUUCCACGACUUUUCC